GUUUGACGGUGGCAACUGAGCCGACAUACAUUCGUUCCUUGAUGUUGAGGAGUAACACAUCGCUCUGCCGGUGCCCCCAGUUGGAUCUCCUAACUGGCAGCGUGCUGAACAGAAUCUACUGUUGAUGCAGUUUGUAGUUGAAGUUUUCAACACAGGAACAGGAAAUGAAAGAAUGAAGUCAAUCUUCUUAAUUCCAGUUGAUUUUAAUUAUCAAAUGUACAUCAUCUCAGAGUUUAGUUUCACAUUAAAU